rnacentral:rRNA from 1 species
GAACGACUCUCGGCAACGGAUAUCUCGGCUCUCGCAUCGAUGAAGAACGUAGCGAAAUGCGAUACUUGGUGUGAAUUGCAGAAUCCCGUGAACCAUCGAGUUUUUGAACGCAAGUUGCGCCGNAGGCCGUUAGGUCGAGGGCACGUCUGCCUGGGCGUCAAGC